rnacentral:lncRNA from 1 species
UAAGGAAAAACUAAUUAAGGCAAGCAAAUUAAUCAAAUCGAGUAGAAAGGUAAGAAUCGAAAGUUUAAGGAAAAGUGUUCAAAUCGGCCAAAGAAAUAAGGAAUUCAGAAUAUUCAAUUGCUCAAUCAAAGAUAAAGUUAUGAAAAGAGUCGGCAUGUUUAUCAUAUAAAUAAGGCAAAACAUGGACAGUCAAGAAUCAAAAUAUAACAUUAACAAAACAAAAGUUAAACAAUACUGAUUCAGUGAGAAAGAUACAUGUCAUAAUGUGAAUAAUCAAGAUGAACACAGGCACAUAGAAUCAGCGAUAGACUAAACUAAGAAAC